rnacentral:rRNA from 1 species
GGGAGGCGAAGGGGAGGAUGGGGCGUUAAGAGGUAGGGGCAAAGCGUUAAUAGGAAGGCAUGUGGGGAAGUCGUGCGCAGGGGGUGGUGCAAGACGGAUGUGAAGUCCCCGAGCUUAACUGGGGAAUGGCAGUUGGGACUGCACGGCUAGAGUGGGUCGGAGGGGGGUAGAAUUGCACGUGUAGCAGUGAAAUGCGUAGAGAUGUGGAGGAAUACCGAUGGCGAAGGCAGCCCCCUGGGAUAACACUGACGCUCAUGCACGAAAGCGUGGGGAGCAAACAGGAUUAGAUACCCCUGUAGC